GGGGUGCUCGAGUGGCGAACGGGUGAGUAACACGUGAGUAACCUGCCCUUGACUUUGGGAUAACUUCAGGAAACUGGGGCUAAUACCGGAUAGGAGCUCCUGCUGCAUGGUGGGGGUUGGAAAGUUCCGGCGGUUGGGGAUGGACUCGCGGCUUAUCAGCUUGUUGGUGGGGUAGUGGCUUACCAAGGCUUUGACGGGUAGCCGGCCUGAGAGGGUGACCGGCCACAUUGGGACUGAGAUACGGCCCAG
rnacentral:rRNA from 1 species